CCCAGACUCCUACGGGAGGCAGCAGUGGGGAAUAUUGCACAAUGGGGGGAACCCUGAUGCAGCGACGCCGCGUGGGUGAAGGAGCGUUUCGGCGCGUAAAGCCCUAUCGGCAGGGAAGAAGGAGGACGGUACCUGACUAAGAAGCCCCGGCUAACUACGUGCCAGCAGCCGCGGUAAUACGUAGGGGGCAAGCGUUAUCCGGAUUUACUGGGUGUAAAGGGGGCGCAGACGGCAGCGCAAGCCAGGAGUGAAAGCCCGGGGCCCAACCCCGGGACUGCUCUUGGAACUGCGCGGCUGGAGUGCAGGAGGGGCAGGCGGAAUUCCUGGUGUAGCGGUGAAAUGCGUAGAUAUCAGGAGGAACACCGGUGGCGAAGGCGGCCUGCUGGACUGCAACUGACGUUGAGGCCCGAAAGCGUGGGGAGCAAACAGGAUUAGAUACCCGCGUACG
rnacentral:rRNA from 1 species